AUUGAACGCUGGCGGCAUGCCUUACACAUGCAAGUCGAACGGUAACAGCACUUCGGUGGCUGACGAGUGGCGAACGGGUGAGUAAUACAUCGGAACGUGCCCGAGAGUGGGGGAUAACGCAGCGAAAGCUGUGCUAAUACCGCAUACGAUCUACGGAUGAAAGCAGGGGAUUCGCAAGGACCUUGCGCUCAUGGAGCGGCCGAUGGCAGAUUAGGUAGUUGGUGGGAUAAAAGCUUACCAAGCCGACGAUCUGUAGCUGGUCUGAGAGGACGACCAGCCACACUGGGACUGAGACACGGCCCAGACUCCUACGGGAGGCAGCAGUGGGGAAUUUUGGACAAUGGGCGAAAGCCUGAUCCAGCCAUGCCGCGUGGGUGAAGAAGGCCU
rnacentral:rRNA from 1 species